rnacentral:rRNA from 1 species
GAUGAACGCUGGCGGCGUGCCUAAUACAUGCAAGUCGAGCGAACAGACGAGGAGCUUGCUCCUCUGACGUUAGCGGCGGACGGGUGAGUAACACGUGGAUAACCUACCUAUAAGACUGGGAUAACUUCGGGAAACCGGCGCUAAUACCGGAUAAUAUAUUGAACCGCAUGGUUCAAUAGUGAAAGACGGUUUUGCUGUCACUUAUAGAUGGAUCCCCGCCGCAUGAGCUAGUUGGUAAGGUAACGGCUUACCAAGGCGACGAUGCGUAGCCGACCGGAGAGGGUGGUCGGCCACACGAGAACUGAGACACGGUCCAGACUACUAAGGGAGGCAGCAGUAGGGAAUCUUCCGCAAUGGGCGAAAGCCUGACGGAGCAGCGCCGAGUGAGAGAUGAAGGUCUUCGGAUCGGAAAACUCUGUUAUGAGGGAAGAACAAAUGUGUAAGUAACUAUACACGUCGUGACGGUACCUAAUCAGAAAGCAACGGCUAACUACGUG